rnacentral:tmRNA from 1 species
GGGGUUGACUGGUUUUGACAGCGGGCAGAAGUGGUUUGUAAGCAUGUAGUGCUUCGUAGCCUGGCACUUAAAUCUCAGACUUCAAAAUUUUAACUGGCGAAAAUAAUUACGCUCUUGCUGCUUAAUCGAAUCAUAGUAGAUUAGUGCUUAAUCUCCGCAACAGUUGUGGAGACAAGACAUCACCCGGAUGCUGUUGUUCCGAAGCUUUCCGAUCCGGUGGUGCUAUAAUAUCGGAAAUAGCUUGAGGCUCUCCUCGUGCCGAUAGCGAAACUUAAGAGGAUACGGUAAAAGUUGGUGGCUUCGGUCUUGCUUUUACCCGACAAUUAAGGCGAAGAUAAACAUGUAGAAAGCAAAUUAAUUCCUCGUUUGGACGAGGGUUCGAAUCCCUCCAGCUCCACUA